AGCGUACACGGUGGAUGCCCUGGCAGUCAGAGGCGAUGAAGGACGUGCUAAUCUGCGAUAAGCGUCGGUAAGGUGAUAUGAACCGUUAUAACCGGCGAUUUCCGAAUGGGGAAACCCAGUGUGUUUCGACACACUAUCAUUAACUGAAUCCAUAGGUUAAUGAGGCGAACCGGGGGAACUGAAACAUCUAAGUACCCCGAGGAAAAGAAAUCAACCGAGAUUCCCCCAGUAGCGGCGAGCGAACGGGGAGCAGCCCAGAGCCUGAAUCAGUAUGUGUGUUAGUGGAAGCGUCUGGAAAGGCGCGCGAUACAGGGUGACAGCCCCGUACACAAAAAUGCACAUAUUGUGAGCUCGAUGAGUAGGGCGGGACACGUGGUAUCCUGUCUGAAUAUGGGGGGACCAUCCUCCAAGGCUAAAUACUCCUGACUGACCGAUAGUGAACCAGUACCGUGAGGGAAAGGCGAAAAGAACCCCGGCGAGGGGAGUGAAAAAGAACCUGAAACCGUGUACGUACAAGCAGUGGGAGCACGCUUAGGCGUGUGACUGCGUACCUUUUGUAUAAUGGGUCAGCGACUUAUAUUCUGUAGCAAGGUUAACCGAAUAGGGGAGCCGAAGGGAAACCGAGUCUUAACUGGGCGUUAAGUUGCAGGGUAUAGACCCGAAACCCGGUGAUCUAGCCAUGGGCAGGUUGAAGGUUGGGUAACACUAACUGGAGGACCGAACCGACUAAUGUUGAAAAAUUAGCGGAUGACUUGUGGCUGGGGGUGAAAGGCCAAUCAAACCGGGAGAUAGCUGGUUCUCCCCGAAAGCUAUUUAGGUAGCGCCUCGUGAAUUCAUCUCCGGGGGUAGAGCACUGUUUCGGCAAGGGGGUCAUCCCGACUUACCAACCCGAUGCAAACUGCGAAUACCGGAGAAUGUUAUCACGGGAGACACACGGCGGGUGCUAACGUCCGUCGUGAAGAGGGAAACAACCCAGACCGCCAGCUAAGGUCCCAAAGUCAUGGUUAAGUGGGAAACGAUGUGGGAAGGCCCAGACAGCCAGGAUGUUGGCUUAGAAGCAGCCAUCAUUUAAAGAAAGCGUAAUAGCUCACUGGUCGAGUCGGCCUGCGCGGAAGAUGUAACGGGGCUAAACCAUGCACCGAAGCUGCGGCAGCGACACUAUGUGUUGUUGGGUAGGGGAGCGUUCUGUAAGCCUGUGAAGGUGUGCUGUGAGGCAUGCUGGAGGUAUCAGAAGUGCGAAUGCUGACAUAAGUAACGAUAAAGCGGGUGAAAAGCCCGCUCGCCGGAAGACCAAGGGUUCCUGUCCAACGUUAAUCGGGGCAGGGUGAGUCGACCCCUAAGGCGAGGCCGAAAGGCGUAGUCGAUGGGAAACAGGUUAAUAUUCCUGUACUUGGUGUUACUGCGAAGGGGGGACGGAGAAGGCUAUGUUGGCCGGGCGACGGUUGUCCCGGUUUAAGCGUGUAGGCUGGUUUUCCAGGCAAAUCCGGAAAAUCAAGGCUGAGGCGUGAUGACGAGGCACUACGGUGCUGAAGCAACAAAUGCCCUGCUUCCAGGAAAAGCCUCUAAGCAUCAGGUAACAUCAAAUCGUACCCCAAACCGACACAGGUGGUCAGGUAGAGAAUACCAAGGCGCUUGAGAGAACUCGGGUGAAGGAACUAGGCAAAAUGGUGCCGUAACUUCGGGAGAAGGCACGCUGAUAUGUAGGUGAAGUCCCUCGCGGAUGGAGCUGAAAUCAGUCGAAGAUACCAGCUGGCUGCAACUGUUUAUUAAAAACACAGCACUGUGCAAACACGAAAGUGGACGUAUACGGUGUGACGCCUGCCCGGUGCCGGAAGGUUAAUUGAUGGGGUUAGCGCAAGCGAAGCUCUUGAUCGAAGCCCCGGUAAACGGCGGCCGUAACUAUAACGGUCCUAAGGUAGCGAAAUUCCUUGUCGGGUAAGUUCCGACCUGCACGAAUGGCGUAAUGAUGGCCAGGCUGUCUCCACCCGAGACUCAGUGAAAUUGAACUCGCUGUGAAGAUGCAGUGUACCCGCGGCAAGACGGAAAGACCCCGUGAACCUUUACUAUAGCUUGACACUGAACAUUGAGCCUUGAUGUGUAGGAUAGGUGGGAGGCUUUGAAGUGUGGACGCCAGUCUGCAUGGAGCCGACCUUGAAAUACCACCCUUUAAUGUUUGAUGUUCUAACGUUGACCCGUAAUCCGGGUUGCGGACAGUGUCUGGUGGGUAGUUUGACUGGGGCGGUCUCCUCCUAAAGAGUAACGGAGGAGCACGAAGGUUGGCUAAUCCUGGUCGGACAUCAGGAGGUUAGUGCAAUGGCAUAAGCCAGCUUGACUGCGAGCGUGACGGCGCGAGCAGGUGCGAAAGCAGGUCAUAGUGAUCCGGUGGUUCUGAAUGGAAGGGCCAUCGCUCAACGGAUAAAAGGUACUCCGGGGAUAACAGGCUGAUACCGCCCAAGAGUUCAUAUCGACGGCGGUGUUUGGCACCUCGAUGUCGGCUCAUCACAUCCUGGGGCUGAAGUAGGUCCCAAGGGUAUGGCUGUUCGCCAUUUAAAGUGGUACGCGAGCUGGGUUUAGAACGUCGUGAGACAGUUCGGUCCCUAUCUGCCGUGGGCGCUGGAGAACUGAGGGGGGCUGCUCCUAGUACGAGAGGACCGGAGUGGACGCAUCACUGGUGUUCGGGUUGUCAUGCCAAUGGCACUGCCCGGUAGCUAAAUGCGGAAGAGAUAAGUGCUGAAAGCAUCUAAGCACGAAACUUGCCCCGAGAUGAGUUCU
rnacentral:rRNA from 1 species